GAAAGAUUCCUCUCUGUUUGUAGCUACAAAACACUAAAAGGUAUAAAAAGACAUGAAGAAUCAAAGGUUAUAAAUGAAGGUUAUAUAUUACAGUCUGUCAGUCACAAUAAGUCAGUUUUCUUUAGUCAUCAUUUCAUAUUUUCAGUUCCUGUUUUAUUUUGUACUUACCUCUGGUUUCAAAUCCAUUCACUUCCUGCCUUUGUGUGUUGAUCAUGUGUCUUUGUUUUUUGAUUUUUGCAUGCCUUUGGACUCUGCCUUCGCCCUUUUAGGGUUUGUUUGCCUGAUCUGAUCUGAUUGGAUCUCUGUGAACUGGACUGCAAGUAAACUACUGUUUAUUUUACGGAGCCCUUGUGUGUGUCGAGUCGUGCUAUUGAGUCCUAUUUCCUGGCUCCUAUCAUUGCCUCCAGCACUGACACAACAAUCCCCUGCAGUGUGUCAGACACCUCCCUGAUGGUCUUCAGCCUCGUUUGGAGAUUCAACCACAGUCAGAUCAUUCUGAACCAGGCCGGAGCCAACGUCAGUCACUCAGUCUCAGAGGAGUGGAGGCAGCAGGUGAAGGGUGUCUCUGAGUCAGCUGAGUGUAAACCACAGCCACCUCCACAAGCAGUACAAAGCACACAGAGGGACCCUCACACUAUUCAAGUAGAUGAAAGAAGAAGACAUGUAUGAUAGCAACUAUCUACAAGAUCCCCAACAACCUGUGCUGCUCUCAAUGUGACUGUAUUGGAUUAAUGUGAGCAAAUCUUCAGAAACUCAUGUGAAACUGUUGCAAGCAGCUCUCAGCAACAUCAACUAGAACAGCUUGACAAUGUGUAUAUUAAUUUAAGCUCAUACAUUUUCUACAUUAUUGUAGAUACACAGUAAGCACAUAUUACACAUAUUAUUUCUGCCAACAGAUAUUAUUAUAGUAGUUAGCUUGUUGAUAAGUGAAGUAGCCUUUAGUCUGAGAGCCACAGAGUGAAUCAGCUGCAGCUCCAUCAUCACCAUCUUCUCCUGUUACUGAGGACGUCAUCAGAGAAGUUGAACAACUCAAACUGAGUUAUUACUGAACAUGACUUCCUGUAUUAAGACCAGGGAAUCAGUUUGAGAGUGACAGCAGCUUCUAAUCCUGUUUUCAGUUUAACUCUGGGGCUUCCUUUUUAUUGUUCAUGUAUGGAAUUUGCCUUUAAGUCUCUAAAGUUGAAUUCUUCUGUGUUACAACAGA